AGUGAACGCUGGCGACGUGCCUAAUACAUGCAAGUCGAACGGAAUUUAAAAGAGCUUGCUCUUUUGAAUUUAGUGGCGCACGGGUGAGUAAUAUAUAGCUAAUCUGCCCCUUGCUGGAGGACAACAGUUAGAAAUGACUGCUAAUACUCCAUACUCCUUUUUACCAUAAGAUAAAUCGGGAAAGAAUUUCGGCAAGGGAUGAGACUAUAUCGUAUCAGCUAGUCGGUGGGGUAACGGCCUACCGAGGCUAUGACGCGUAACUGGUCUGAGAGGAUGAUCAGUCACAUUGGAACUGAGACACGGUCCAAACUCCUACGGGAGGCAGCAGUAGGGAAUAUUGCGCAAUGGGGGAAACCCUGACGCAGCAACGCCGCGUGGAGGAUGACACUUUUCGGAGCGUAAACUCCUUUUGUUAGGGAAGAAUAAUGACGGUACCUAACGAAUAAGCACCGGCUAA
rnacentral:rRNA from 1 species